UGCAGCAUGUUAAUAUGUCCAGGCCUGCAGAUUCCUCAGCUGAGGUGUUGCUGGAAAAAAAGGGCUGCGCUGCAGUUAUAACCUUGAACCGGCCAAAGGUUCUCAACGUGUUGAAUGUUUCCAUGAUUCGUCAGAUAUAUCCUCAGCUAAAGAAAUGGGAGCAGGAUCCUGAAAUCUUUCUAAUACUGAUAAAGGGAACUGGAGGCAAGGCGUUCUGUGCCGGCGGGGAUAUCAGAGUCAAUACAGAAGCCGAGAG